rnacentral:tRNA from 1 species
GGCCGAGUGGCGGAAUCGGUAGACGCACAGGACUUAAAAUCCUGUGUCCGGUAACGGGCGUGCGGGUUCGAGUCCCGCCUCGGCUA